rnacentral:rRNA from 1 species
UACGUAGGUGGCAAGCGUUGUCCGGAUUUAUUGGGCGUAAAGCGAGCGCAGGUGGUUUAUUAAGUCUGGUGUAAAAGGCAGUGGCUCAACCAUUGUAUGCAUUGGAAACUGGUAGACUUGAGUGCAGGAGAGGAGAGUGGAAUUCCAUGUGUAGCGGUGAAAUGCGUAGAUAUAUGGAGGAACACCGGUGGCGAAAGCGGCUCUCUGGCCUGUAACUGACACUGAGGCUCGAAAGCGUGGGGAGCAAACAGG